rnacentral:rRNA from 1 species
UACCAGCACCCCGAGUGGUCGGGACGAUUAUUGGGCCUAAAGCAUCCGUAGCCGGUCUUGCAAGUCUUCCGUUAAAUCCAGCUGCUUAACAGAUGGGCUGCGGAAGAUACUACAAGACUAGGAAGCGGGAGAGGCAAGCGGUACUCAGUGGGUAGGGGUAAAAUCCUCUGAUCCAUUGAAGACCACCAGUGGCGAAGGCGGCUUGCCAGAACGCGCUCGACGGUGAGGGAUGAAAGCUGGGGGAGCAAACCGGG